GACAGAGGGUGCGAACGUUGUUCGGAAUUACUGGGCGUAAAGCGCAUGUAGGCGGUUUUGCAGGUCGGAUGUGAAAGCCCUUGGCUCAACCAAGGAAGUGCAUUCGAAACCGCAAAGCUAGAGUCCCGAAGAGGAAGGUGGAAUUCUCGGUGUAGAGGUGAAAUUCGUAGAUAUCGAGAGGAACAUCGGUGGCGAAAGCGGCCUUCUGGACGAGGACUGACGCUGAGAUGCGAAAGCGUGGGGAGCAAACAGG
rnacentral:rRNA from 1 species